rnacentral:sRNA from 1 species
AUGGAUUUAUACUACAUUAGAUAUUAAAUGUGUCUCCACUCCAUGGUGCUUGGGAAGAUGGAUUGAUGUUUAAUAACACUAGAUGUUUUCAUACACAGAACACACAUGGUCUGCAACAAUCCCAUUCAUUCUAAUACCAAUAUCCCAACACCUUCCUCUGGCUUCUGUAGGUAGCAGUCAAAUAUCUAUUACAUAGAAAUUCAUUCAUACUUUUAAAAUGUUCCCAUGAUUUUAUACAGUAAAAUGAUUCGCAGAAAAUAUUUUUUGUAGUACUCUACCUGUAUAUUAUACGUCUUUUGAAUUCUGGUUAUACUAUGAGUUGGUCUACAAAACAUUUGCCCUGUUUUCUUCAUAGUUAGUUUUGUAACUAACAUUAGUUUUCAGAUGGUCUAAAAUAAAAUUAUCCUUUUUCUUCGUUUAGACUUCUACUGAAGAUUCCUCAGGCAAACUUUAUCCUUCUAAAGCAUCUCAUUUGGUAUUAGUAAUAAUAAGAGACUCAUCCACGAGUAAUUUAGACACUAACAGGUUAUCUAUCCGGAUAGCUCCUUAUGUUUUGUGGGAUCAGACUACAAAGGAUGCAUGGUUUGGGAGUGAUGUAUCAAGAAAGAUGUCCAUUAUACAAAUCAUGAUCGACAACUAUCAUCAAAUAUUUGGAAAUUAUAAUAUAUUUUAUAAACAUAUUGACAGAAGAUCUGAGGAUUUAAAGACUUGUGCAGAUUCAAUAAACUCUUCUGGCAAAUCACCUAUUAUGAAAGAAUUCCUAGCUGGCCACAACAAGAAGACAUGCGAUAAUGGUGAAAAAUUAAAAAUUUCAUCCAUUGCUCUGCAGGAGUAAGGUCCUACAGCGACAGCCCCUCUCUGUAGGGGAGCUGUGCCCAUCAAAGGCUGAAGACUCUCGGGAGAAGCCGCAUCAAGAGGACCUGAUGCCCCCAGAAGCCUGGAUUGCUGGAUAUGCAUGUUUCUGUGAUGUACACAUAUACUCACACAUUUAUAAAACUACUGGUAUAUGUUGUGCCCUUGGUUUUAUUCUCUGUGUAUUUGAACUUUAUAAUAAAAAUACUUUUCACUGUGUA